rnacentral:misc_RNA from 1 species
GCCUUGGCAGGAGCUGCUAUUGGAGGCGAAGACAUCCUACAGAAUAUGAUGCAGCAUCUAUUGCCAAAAUCAGAAAGCCUUUUCUUGAGCCAUGGCAUCAAUGAGAUCAAAUUGAUGGGAUUGCUUCGAGUUGCAACCCAAGAUGCAAUCCACAGGCUUUCUUCCCAGAACAGUGUUCAGGUUGAUGUGGAUUUGGGAAAUGGGAAAAAGUUAUGCAACAUAAUUACUCGGGAGGAAUUUGAGGAAGUGAACCAUAAGGUGUUUGAAAAGUGUGAGAACCUCAUAAAGCAGUGCUUACAAGACUCAAAAGUAGACAUAGAGG